AGCUAAUGAACUUGUAUAAGUAUAUAUUUUGAAAGUAUAAAAAAGAAUAUUAAUUUUCUAUUAGCUUAUACUAAAAUUAAUUAACUAA
rnacentral:tRNA from 1 species